AAAAGAGGGUUCAAGUUUGAAAGAGUGCUUUGAUUUGUACAAGAGCACAGCAGCCUGUUGCACGCCAUUCCGAUCUGAGGGCUGUCACUUCUUCCAGCCAUCAAGAGACUUCUGAAGAGCCAGAAACCUGUCAAGUACUACUCUCUGUCAAAAAGCAAAAAGAAAAUACGCAUUUUGAUCUGGAAAUUCAUCUCAGACCAGGAAGGCAGACAGCAGGAUGGCUUCACAUCUAUUGGUUCAUGAGACUGAUACUUAAGUACUCUAGUGUUUUCCUCAGAUCUUUUAAUUGCUUAAAAACAACUACCACUCAUACAGAUUUUACAGCGCCAAGACAAAAGGCAUAAUGUAGCACAAGCAUGGCUUAGCACUGGUGUUUGCCUAAGGUCAGCAAUAGAAAUCUCAUGUGCAGAGCUGUUAGCAUGAGGAUAUCAAGUACCAACAGAGAAAAUGAACUGGUUUGAGGUGGGUUUUGGCUAAAUUGAAAAUUACUUGACCACUGUACCACCCCAGCUCCACAGAAAGCAAUAUAAAUUGUUCAUAGUACUGAAAAGAUCCAGAAAAUGCAGAAAUAGGGACAUGUUAAGGCAUACUUCACAGUGAGCUAAAAUCCAGAAUGGCAAUUGUAAAUGCUGUGGUGGUCUGCUCAUGUGCAUCGUUCUGAGCAUGGUGCUAAAUAACACCAAAGUCCUGGGUUUGAUCCUGGUAUGGGCCAUUACUUUUGAAUUGGACUAGGUGAUCCUUGUGGGUCCCUUCCAACUCAGAAUAUUCUG